rnacentral:tRNA from 1 species
GCCGGCGUAGCUCAGCGGCAGAGCGGAUGAUUCGUAAUCAUCAGGUCGUGGGUUCAAUCCCCACCGCCGGCUCCA